UCGUAUUUAGCUUGUAUUGUACGCAAGAGGCGUAUUUCAGAUCGAUAAAUCCCAAAUCCCUGCCCUAAUCCCCUUUCCCUCGCUCUUUCUUCCUCCCGCGCCCUUUGCUGCUCCAAAGAUCCACUUUUGAUUUCGAUUUCGCCGAUUCAUCCGCCGGUGCCGGAUAUGGCGUGCAUCGACGUCCAUGGCAUGAGCGUGACGCUCACGAUGCCCGACCAGCUGUCGCACGCCGGGAAGAAGAGAUCCGCCGACGAGGAUCUCGUCCUCGCGGACGAGUCCGAGGCCCGUGGAUGGUCCUCGGCGGUCUCGGACCGCAGGCUCGCCCUGCGCCGCCGGCGAGGUCCGGCUUCCUCUUCCUGCCGCCGCGGCUGCAUAGUGGUGACGGAGGCGCCGGACUGCCGUGCCGAGGAGGCGGUCGAAGGCGCCCAACUAGCUGCACCGGAGAGCAAGGCUUCCUCUGUUGAGGAGCUGGUCUGCUGGACAGUACUCUAGUACAACAAUCCAACCAUCCAAAAUCGCCAGGCCUGCUUGUGCAAAUGUCUGAAAAAGGUUCGAUGUUUCUGCUCCCGUUGUGUCCAUCUAUUGCAGAGUCCUUUCUUUCUAGACAAUAUGAAUAACCUCUUUUCUCUUCUUUUUUAUGUCAAUGUCGGAGCACCUUGGGGUUUCGAGGAGGCGACGCUACAAGAAGUUGUGGAGGCGUCAUAUGAAGUAAUCAAAUUACAAGUCAAGAGGCCUGAUGUGCUGGAAUGUCAGUUUAGCUAGCAUGGUCAUGUCAGUUAGUACUCCCUCUGUAAACUUUUAUAAGAUAGUUAAUGAUCUAAACUAUCUUAUAGAAGUUAGUUAAUGAUCUAAACUAUCUUAUAGAAGUUUACAAAGGGAGUACUUAGUACUAGCUGUUUCCUGUAAUAUCGUGGCUCACGGCAGUAUGUACGCCGGAGAGUGGGUGGAGGGCGGCACGAUAUGAAUAAAACUAUAAAUUUCCCUAUCUUGCGUUGUUUCCUUAGCUUUAUGUUUUCUGCUCUCAUCUUUGCGCCUUGGCAUGAUAUGAACAGUUCAUCGGCAGACCGAAAAACCUCUCCUUUCGCCUUGUUCGCUCUGUAAACAGCAGAUCCUUCGCUCGACUCUUGCUAAAUCACACAUGGAAGGCGAAGCCAGGAGCUGAACAUGAGGUGCUGAUGGCCAGGAGCUCUUCUACCUCGCUGUCAGCUACUUGAAUCUUCCAAGUCUUGUAGAAAGAGUUCCUCCUCUCCUCUGUUUAUCUUCCAGUUCAAGUGGAAUCAGCGCAGAACUAUUUCGAUGUGUUUAUGCCAAGUGACUGGCCAUGUUCUUGUAGGACAGAGUCCAAUUCAUAUAUUAAAGUCGAUAUGUUAGAAUGUAAUUGGCUUGUUUGAUAAAUAAAUUGAAUAUAAUCUAAGCUGAGUUGCGAAGUGUACUCACAUCGGUCUACUGUUUUGUGGUGUGAGUAUAAGCGUCUUGCAGCUCAAUGGUUUGACAGCAUAUGAUGUAUUUCUUCACAACAUAAAAGGUUGCCAUAGGUUCAGCCGUUCAGGUAAAUGGUGAUUUACCAAAUGGGUGAAAUUUUGCUUCCACAAAGUAGUGUAAGACUGAGUAUUCUGAUAAUAGUUGGUUCUUUUGGGGUUUGGUUGUGACUACUGCUGUACUACAAAUAUGAAUUCCAUAAAAAAUGAAAAGUACACACCUAUUAAGAUGUGAGAUAUUUUUCCAGCCAAAAAAAUGAUUUUGGUGUUUCCAAAACAUUUUUGAUUCUUAGAAAGCCUUUCUGGAACUACUCUUUUUGGUGUUUGUGCUGUAGCUAUUACUUUACUGCAAAUACAAAUUUUGUGUUUGUGCCAUUCUUUGUAAAUCACACAUGGAAGGCAAAGGCAGGGAAGACGAGGUGCUGAUUGAUGUUGAUGGCCAGGAGUUCUUCUACCUUGCUUUAAUAUACUCGAAUCUUCCAAGUCUUGUAGAAAGAGUUCCUCCUCUCCUCUGUUUGUCUUCCAGUUCGAGUCGAAUCAGCCCAAGACUAUUUCGAUGUGUUUAUGCCAAGUGAUGGGCCAUGUUCUUGUAGGACAGAGUCCAAUUCAUGUAUUAAAGUCGGUAAGUUACCAAAUGGGUGAAAUUUUGCUUCCACAAAGUAGUGCAAGACUGAAUAUUCUGAUAUGACUGGCUCUUUUGGUGUUUGGGUGUGACUACUGCUGUGCUACAAAUACGAAUCCUUAAAAGUGUGAAAUGUACAUAUCUAUAAGAUCUGAGAUUUUUUUUUUCAGCCAAAAAGAUGAAUUUGGUGUUUCCAAAACAAUUCUGAUUCUUAGAAAGCCUUUCCAGAACUGCUCUUUUUGGUGUUUGUGCUGUGACUAUUACUGUACUACUUACUUACUUACUUACGAAGCCUUUUAUCCCAAACAAGUUGGGGUAGGCUAGAUAUGAAACCCUUUCACGAGGACUUCCCGGGAGGUCACCCAUCCUAGUACUACUCUUGCCCAAAUGGGUUUCAUACCCAAAAGACUGGCUAGUUUUUACGUUGGCUCGCCAAGCCUAUCACAACCCUUAGAUAUGAAACCCUUUCACGAGGACUUCCUAGGAGGUCACCCAUCCUAGUACUAUUCUCGCUCAAAUGGGUUCCACACCUAUGGGACUGGCUAGUUUUUACGUUGGCUCGCCAAGCCUAUCACAACCCUCCUCCUUUACCCGGGCUUGGGACCGGCUAUGCCUAGAAGACAUAGGCGUGCUAUGCUCCUGUGAUAUUUAUUAGCUUUAAAUCAGCCUUAAGGUGAUCACUUUCAUUUGAUCAAUCUCUGCAAUACCAAAAGGCACACAAUGAAUGUUGAUUACAAAUUGUGUGCGACGGAAUCUGGACACAGAAUAAUCUAGCAAUAUGGUGCCAAGUUUUGUGAACUAAACAAAACACGGAUAUAUUUCCCUCCCUUUUUUGAAGCACCACCGUCUGAACAAAUUAAUGAUAUGGAGGUUUGGCAUGCUAUAGUUCAUCUCUUUUCUGGUUGGGAUGCAAGUUUAAGUGAUAUCUUGGGCUGCGGUUUUUCUUGAUGUUUUUUCGAUGUUCCUUUUCUAUACAUAGCGAAGUCAUAAUAAUUUUAAUGGCCUCCCGAUGCUAUUUUUAAUGUUCAAUGGAAUAUAAAUAUGGGUGUCCAUUUUUUUCCCUAUGCAGUUGAGUCUGAUGGCCCAUUAGAUUCUUGCCUUUGAUUUGUCAUGUCCCUUUACUGAAUAAAGAUUAUGUUUGGGUACCGACAACAUGUGUCCAGUGUUUACCAUAAAUCUUUCUUUCUAUUUACAUAGACUUCCCUGCUUACUUCAUGCGCACAUGUACGCCUCUCAGGUCAUGUUGAUAGGCAUCCUGCAUCUCAGAAUUCUGCAUGUGAAAACUUAGAAACCACAAUGCUCUACGUAAUUAGUUUCGCAAAAAAAAAACUCUACAUAAUUACAGUAGGUCAGAGAGAAAUGCCUUGAAAAUAGGCUGCUCAAGUUUGAGUUCUCUGAUUUGGAAAAUAACUUGUAGUGCAAGUUCAAUCGAUCAAAUUCACAGGGAAAAUUAAACUCUCAGAAGUCACUGCUGGAUCAAAUAAGAAGUCAUCAAGGAUCGGAACAUGUAAACAUAGUGUAGUCAUAAUGACUUUAAUGACUGAGGGAGUCCUGGAUUAGGGGGUGUUCGGAUAGCCGAACUAUACCUUCAGCCGGACUCCUGGACUAUGAAGAUACAAGAUUGAAGACUUUGUCCCGUGUCCGGAAGGGACUUUCCUUGGCGUGGAAGGCAAGCUUGGCGAUACGGAUAUUCAGAUCUCCUACCAUUGUAACCGACUCUAUGCAACCCUAACCCUAUCCGAUGUCUAUAUAAACCGGAGGGUUUUAGUCCGUAGGACAACAUACACAUCAACAAUCACACCAUAGGCUAGCUUCUAGGGUUUAGCCUCUCUGAUCUCGUGGUAGAUCUACUCUUGUACUACCCAUAUCAUCAAUAUUAAUCAAGCAGGACGUAGGGUUUACCUCCAUCGAAAGGGCUCGAACCUGGGUAAAACUUCGUGUCCCUUGCCUCAUGUUACCAUCUGGCCUAGACGCACAAUUCGGGACCCCCUACCCGAGAUCCGCCGGUUUUGACACCGACAUUGGUGCUUUCAUUGAGAGUUCCUCUGUGUCGUCGCCAUCAGGAAGGAUGCCUCGCCCCGUCUUUAAAGACGGCACCGUUGCUAAGGGAGCUUUGGCUGUCGGCCAAACCCUCCGGCUAGGUGGUUUUCUUAUGACCGCCUGUUCGGCUUCUGCACCGAUGAUGACCUCUCGAGCCAUCGAAAAUAAUCUUCAUGUCAGUUCGGAACUCGCCGAACAGUUAGAUCCAAUGGAGCUUUCCUCCAUAAACGAGCUCUUGGAUCACUUCGCCGUCCUGGGAGUCGCUACGGAUUACGACCAGAUUGGGCCUAAAACCGAUCUGAGAGAGAUUAACUUUCCCCAAGUCACCCACCACGUUGCCGUGGUAGAGGGACAGUGUCGCGACCCUUCGUCUAUCUUAAGGACUCGCUACGUCCGGAUUCCCGAUCCCUCCAAGCCGGAUACCCGCGGAGGGGAGGAUAUCACUCAAGACCUGAACUUAGAGUCAGGCGACGGGCUGGAUUCAUUGGACAACACCCAGGGAUCCAAAUUUUCGAGUUCAGAAAUUCCUCGGCCUCUGAGCCUCAGACGGGGUGAGGCUUCGGAUUUAACUCCACCCACCCAUCCCAACAUAAGCGAUCUAUCCAAAAUCAGGCAAGAGCCCGACGAAACAGUACAUCAUUACUGCGCUAGAUUCCUCCUGGUUAAGAACAGGCUAAGGGAUUGCCACGAGGAAGACGCAAUCUUAAUCUUCUGCAAGAAUUGCAUGGACAAGGGAAUACUCAACGCCAUAAGUCACCGUGAUAUCACACGCUUCGCUGACUUGGCGUCCAUUGUACAAAAGUAUUAAGCGAUGGAAAGCGCCUGGAAAACCAAAAUAAAAUUUUGGGACAAUCCGGCCCUAAAUACAAACCCAGUCCGAAAUAAAAGGGUGCAGCAUAACCAGACACCCAGGUCAAAUACCAAAAAGCAAAAACCCUCUAUAGGGCAUGGAACCGUACUGGAAGGAUGGCUUAACGGACCCUGUAAAAUUCACAGUACAGAGGACGCCACACCAACUCACAGCCUUAAAGCAUGUUGGAUACUCCGGCAGGUGGCCAAAAUUGGCGAAAACCUCCUAAUUCCGGAAGCCACAGAAAGCCACCCCAGAGACACCCAUACGGUAUUAACAGUCUUCGAGACUUUCGCAUCAAAUAAUAUGCGAAAAAGGACACUCCGCAGCCUUGCCGAAGUCUACCAAGUAGCAAUAAUAAACCCAUGGAAUGACACGGCUAUUACCUUUAACGCCAGUGAUGAACCUAAAUUCCAAACAGCCCGAGCAUCAGCCGCAUUGGUCCUCAGCCCAAUAGUGGACGACUUUCGUCUUACCAAGGUACUCAUGGACGGCGGCAGCGGAUUGAACCUCAUUUACGAGGAAACCCUUCAAAAAAUGGAAAUAGACUGGAACCGCAUUAAGCGAAGCAGCACAACCUUUAGAGGAAUAAUCCCCAGUCGGGAAGCGCGCUGCACAGGAAAAAUCACACUAGAUGUGGUGUUCGACACGCCGGAUAAUUACAGGUCCGAAGAGAUCACGUUCCAUGUGGCUCCGUUCAGCAGCGGUUAUCACGCUCUGCUAGGGCGGGAAGCGUUCACAAUCUUCCAAGUAAUACCCCAUUACGAGUACAUGAAGCUCAAAAUGUCCGGGCCUAACGGGAUCAUCACUCUCGCUAGUGAUCCGGACAUAGCACUCCGCGCCGAAAACAAGGCAGCCGCACUGGCCCUUGAGGCACUAUUCGAAGCCCUAGCGGCUGAGGAACUGACUGCGCUAUGCUCUACGGUGAAUAGGGACGAUGUGGUACUCGACAAAAGAUCCAAGUCCACCUCCUUUAAACCGGCGGACGAAAUAGUCAAAUUCCAAGUCCAUCCAACGGACCCAAAUAAAACAGCUUCCAUCGGGGCACAGUUAAACCCUGAUGUAGACGCCGCACCGCGAGAGUUCCUACGAGAAAACUGGGACAUUUUCGCCUGGCACCCUUCAGACAUGCCAGGAAUCCCACGCAGGCUGGCCGAGCACAGCUUAAAUAUCCAAACAGGAUUCAAACCUGUCAAACAGGCUCUUCGACAUUUUUCUGAACCUAAGAGACAUGCUAUGGGAGAGGAGCUAGCAAAGCUAUUGGAGGCCGGAUUCAUCAGAGAUAUAAAACAUCCGGACUGGCUAGCAAACCUGAUGAUGGUACCAAAGAAGGACAAAUCCUGGCGCCUGUGCGUUGAUUUUAAAGACCUUAACAAGGCUUGCCCAAAGGAUCCCUUCCCCCUCCCCCGCAUCGAUCAAAUUAUCGACGCUACCGCAGGACACGAUUCGUUGUGUUUCCUCGACGCAUAUUCAGGCUACCAUCAAAUCAAGAUGGCAGAAUCUGACCAAUCCGCAACGGCAUUUAUCACACCAUACGACCCAUUCUUCUUCAACACAAUGCCCUUCGGGCUCAAAAACGCCGACGCAACAUAUCAGCGCAUGAUUCAGACAUGUCUGGCAAGCCAGAUCGGCAAAACAGUGGAGGCAUAUGUAGAUGAUGUGGUCGUCAAAACAAGACAUGUCGAAUCUCUAGUAGACAACUUGAGGCUCACAUUUGAUAACCUCCGAACCUACGACAUCAAGCUCAACCCGGAAAAAUGCGUUUUCGGUGUUCCAGCCGGAAAGCUCUUGGGCUUCAUUGUAUCCGGUAGAGGAAUCGAAGCAAAUCCGGCCAAGAUCCGAGCUCUAUCGCAACUGGAUAUCCCAAAUGACCUCAAACAAAUACAAAAAUUAACCGGAUGCGUGGCGGCUCCAAGCCGCUUUAUCUCCCGCUUGGGAGAAAAGGCCCUACACCUUUACCGCCUCCUUCGGCGCACCGAACACUUCGAAUGGACGGAUGCAGCCACGGCCGGACUCGAGGAGAUAAAAACCAUACUUGCAACAAACCCAGUCCUGGCCGCGCCAAAUAUUGGCGAACCAAUGCUAUUAUACAUUGCAGCAACACAUCAGGUUGUAAGCGCAGUGCUCGUCGUCGAACGAGAAACAGACGGACACAGAUUCCCCCUUCAAAAGCCGGUCUAUUAUGUGUCCACUGUCCUCACUCCUUGCAAAUCACGGUACCCGCAUUAUCAAAGAUCACGUACGCGGUAUUCAUGGCAUCCCGGAAGCUACGACACUACUUUCAAGAGUGUUCAAUAACAGUAGCCUCGGAAGUACCACUCAACGAUAUUAUAAACAACCGUGACGCAACGGGCCGGAUUGCAAAAUGGGCCAUUGAGCUCCUCCCGUUCGACAUAACUUAUAAGCCACGGCGAGCCAUCAAGUCACAAGUCUUGGCCGACUUCGUCGCAGAAUGGACGGAGGCCGAACUCCCUAAAGAGUACGACACAUAUUCAAAUUGGAUCAUGCAUUUCGACGGCUCCAAGAUGUUGGCCGGACUGGGGGCUGGCGUUGUUUUGACGUCCCCCAUAGGAGACACAGUUCAAUAGGUACUCCAGAUUAUGUACACGGACUCCAACAACGCAGCCGAAUAUGAGGCCCUUUUACAUGGUCUCCGGAUGGCAGUAUCCAUGGGCAUUCAACGCCUAGAGGUGCGCGGGGACUCGAACCUCGCUAUAUCCCAAAUAAAUGGAGACUUCGAUGCCAAGGAUCCAAAAAUGGCAGCUUACCGCAACGCCGUCCUAAAAAUGUCAGCUCGGUUCGAGGGGCUUGAAUUUCACCAUAUAGCCCGGGAAAAUAAUCAGGCAGCGGAUGUCCUGGCACGCAUCGGCGCAAAACGCGAUGUAGUCCCCCCCAACAUCUUCCUGGAAAGGCUGUUCAAGCCAUCCGUAGUAUGGGAAGGGGAGCCGAACAAUAACAACCCGGACCCAACCGCACUGCCCGACACCGAACAUUCUGACACAAUCGGAGGCUCUGCCAAUGAAAUAACACCUUCAGCCCACGUAAUAAUGGCCGUCAUCGCCCCGUGGACAGAACCAUUCCUCGCCUACCUCACUAAGCAGGAACUCCCCGAGGACCAAAAUGAGGCACGUUGCAUAGUGCGGCGAUCCAAAGCCUACAGAGUCCACGAGGGAGAGCUUUAUAACAAAAGCACUAUUGGAGUCCUUCAAAGGUGCAUCUCCGAAGAGGAGGGGCGGAACCUCCUAGCUGAAAUUCAUGCCGGACUGGGCGGUCAUCACGCUGUAGCUCGGUCCCUCGUAAGCAAGGCCUUCCGUACAAGCUUUUAUUGGCUGACGGCACGGGCAGACGCUCAUGACUUAGUCCAACGAUGCACCGGUUGCCAGCUCUUUGCAAACCAAAGCCAUAUGCCACCCACCGCCCUCCGAACCAUCCCCAUUACUUGGCCCUUCGCGGUCUGGGGGCUUGACAUGGUUAGACCCCUUAAAGGCAGAACCCACAAGCAAAAAUACUUACUAGUCAUGGUGGAUAAAUUCACCAAAUGGAUAGAAGCCAAGCAUGUUAAGACGGCUGAAUCCGGACCGUGAUAGACUUUAUAUUCGGGGUCGUACACUGUUACGGCGUUCCCCACAGCAUCAUCACUGAUAACGGCACAAACUUCACGGCCGACGAGGUAAAACUCUGGUGCAAAAACAUGGGCAUCAAGCUCGACUAUGCUUCCGUCUAUCACCCACAAACUAACGGCCAGGUCGAAUGUGCAAAUGGUCUUAUCAUGAGCGGAAUUAAAAUCAGAUUAGUGCGGUCCCUCAAGGAAUCUAACACGCACUGGGUAGAGGAGCUCGACUCCGUACUCUGGGGGCUACGGACCACACCGAAUCGCACCACCGGAUACACACCAUUCUUUAUGGUGUACGGCGCAGAGGCAGUUUUGCCCUGUGACAUAAUUCAUGAUUCACCUCGAGUGCGCAUGUACGAAGAAAGAGAAGCCGAGCUCGAUCGGUAGGACAGCUUAGACGCAUUGGAGGAGGAGCGUGAUGUGGCAAAAGCCCGUUCCGCAUUCUAUCAACAGCAGGCUCGAAGAUACCAAGCAGAGAAGUACGGGCCAAAAAUUACAACGUUGGCGAAUUAGUUCUACAACUACCGGACAAGAAAAAGGACAAACUCAAGCCCAAGUGGGAAGGUCCCUUCAUAAUCGACCAAGUCCUGACUGGUGGAGCGUACCGCCUGCGAGAUGCAUCGGAUAACCGGCUUGAGCCGAACCCAUGGAACGCAGCCCGUCUCCGAAGAUUCUAUGCCUAGCGCCGCACUCUAUGUUCGUCUCCUUCCUCUGUCCAUUUUUUUAUAUAUAUUUUCUGUCUUGCAUUUCUCUUCUUCUUUUAUCUCUCUCUCUUAUAGCCCUUAAAGGCUCAUACAGUGACGCGUCACCCGCGCUCAUUAAACCUGGGGGCUUCUUUAAACAGAAGCUUAUUCAUACGGGCUUCAUGCCCAACACAUGCAUCACACUUCCGCAUGUACCUUUUAUUCACCAUUAUAUGUAUCGAUAUGACUUAAGUUUUGGCCAAGCUAGGUUGCCUGGCUCCUGUGCUUACCCCUACGUUCCCGAUUGUUCGGCUAGGUGGUAAAGGGAGCACCUCUGCAAUUGUUACUGCCGGGUCAGCCGGACGUGUACCUCAGACUGGGUGAAGCCGAAAGCUAGCGUUCUUAAGGGAAUAUUCGGUCGGUGAACUAAAGAUGAUCUUUUUUAUUUUUUACACCCCCAGAUGUUUUUUCUGCGUUUCUUUUCGCAGCAUGGACAUGCACCUUAGGGCAUGCCUCCCAGGGAAAGAAACCCCUAACGGAACUAUUCUCCCUGGAAGAUGUUUCUUACUAACCAUGUAAUAUAACAUAACUAGUCGGGCACUUGUCUGUUCACGCACUAAUGACCCCUAUGCCUGGUCUCCAUGCAUUCCCCGGUUCCUAUAUAACCACAUGGGAAUUCGGACACACUCCGGACCGUCAGGUCCCGAGGCUGAAGCGAAAAGGUCGGCCAUGACAAAUGAUCUACAAUCCGGCUAGAAGGCAUUAUAAAUGUCAACUAAAUUACAUAGUCAUUUUGACUGAUCGUAUUCCUCUUCAAUACCAUCUAACAGGCUGUCUAAUUUACAGUCCUGCUGGGAAUACUUUGCGGCCAACUCUACUUGGCCGUAUACUAAGCUUACAGGGAUCUCCUUCCCAUCGGGCCCUAUAGGACCGACCUCGGCCAUGUGGUUGGGGUCAGCCUUUGCGUACCGUGUCUUCACCAUGGCCCAGGCCUCCCUAGCGCCUUGACGGCAGACUGAUAUCUUCCAUAAUCGGAAGCGUCGCCGUGCUCCUUUUAGCUUCUCCGCAAGCUCUCCAAGACCUUCGGGCAUGGAGACGGAUGGCCACAGGGCCUGGGCGACGCCUCGCAUCGCCUGCCGAACUCGAUCGAGCAGUUGUGAGAGCUCGGGAAGAAGGUCACCCGUAGAACCGGGCAUCUCCUCUCCAGGACGGCCUGUCAGCACACCUACAGACAUUGCUCUGUUAGUCGACUUCCCCGCCGAACUUUCUUUUAAAAGGUUUGUUCAAGCACUUACUAAAUAUGCCGCACCGAAGCCGCUGAUUCUCCUUCACGGAGUCUGACAGCUGGGCACGAACAUCUUUCAGCUCGACGCCCAGCUUGGUGUUGGCAUCUCGGAGAUCGUUCUUCUCCCCCAUCACCUUCAACAGCACCCUCUCACCAGCCUUUAGCUGGCGUAGGAGAUGUUGCCUUUCCGGAUCCAAUCCGGCGCCAUCUGCAAUUUCACUUGUCAGAUUCGCACCAAAUCCAUGCUUCGCAAAAUACUUAUCUUUCGAAGUGUAUACUACCAGCGGGGGCCUCCUUAGGCUCCCCUGCCGCGGCUAGUGCGGCCUCAAGUUGGGCUUUGCACUCUUCCAGCUCCUUGGACAGUAGGGAAUUCUUUUCUGUAAGAACCUGCAUAACAAAUGAUCCUUAAAUCAGUUAUUUUAACUGUUUCAAGUCUCGGGGGCUACUGGUAUAUAUAUAAUUACCAAAAUUUUCUUACCCGUAUGUCUUUUACAUAUUGCUCCGUGGCUCUGGUUAGACCAUUUUGAGCGGCACGGAGGUACGCAUCUCCCGACUUAAAGGCAUCUAACGCCUUUUGGGAGAAACAAGCAUCGCGAAGAAUUGUCCGGCGACGCCUGUGGUUCAUGGCACUCUCCACCUCAGAGUUGGUGGCAGACAACCUGUCCACAUCCUCCGUCGGAGGAGCGUCCGGUGCGCGCCUUGUGUUCGGCCCCGCUUCCGGGCCAGGCUUUGGAGCCUGGCUGGUGGAGGCGCGAUUGGCGGUCUCUCCAAAUAUAGUUCGACGAGGUCUCUUUGUCCUGAAUAGGGCACAAGUGUUAAUAUGCCCUGAAGGUACGACACCUGGGAUAAGGGGGUGCGCCAUACCUUUGCACUGACGCCCCGGUCCAGACUGCACCUCUUUUCUGCCCACGGGGCCCUACGGCCCCUCGUUGGCUUGUCGAUGUAGGUUCGGCCUCUCGUUUCUGGGAGGCCGGGAUUAGCCUUGGAUAAUCGGCCGUAAUGGCCACCAGGGCGUUGUCCUUGCUCAAUUGAUGGAAUACUCCAUCAAUCAGAUCCACCGAAAGCUCCGGAUCCUCUUGCGAGUCCGGGUCGAGGGACCGUCCUGGAUCCUCGGGUUGUGGAGGAGGGCUGUUUAUUUCUUUAACAGCCUGGCGCAGUUCCUGCAUCGAAAUUGCUAAGAUUAAAUAUUUAACAAUGGGGAUAUAAAACGGAUGGGCAAGAUGUGAUCACUCACCCAGCUUGGAGGAUUGUACAUGGAAAAUCCACCCUUUGGGUUAACAUGGAGAAAAUCCUCCUCUUCUCCCUUGUACAAAGCGGACAAGGUCUUUAUUAGAGCCGCAGCCGAAUCCGGCCCCUUACGGCCGUAGCGGGUGGUGUCAUCCUCCCCGUUGAAAUCCCACAUGGGGUGGCUUCUAUACUGUAGCGGCUGCACCCCUCGCAUGAUGCAUGCGGCCAUGAUCCCGAUCAUGGUUAGUCCGGAAUGAGCUAACAAUCUUAUCCGGCCCAUCAGGUAAACAACGUCCCUGUCACUUUCCCUCUAAGGGCUCUGUGGGCGCCAGCUUAGGCGCUUCUUUAAGGAAGCAUUGUUGAAUUCAGGGAGGCCGAUCCGGACAGGAUCCGGCAGCGGGACGUCUUCUAUGUAAAACCAUUCCGAGGGCCAGUCUUCGGACGCCUUCUUUGGGGUUCCGGACAGAUAGCCGGUCCCGGCGACGCGCCAUACUUCGGCUCCGCCCACUUGAUACAUAGACCCUUUCUUGGAACGGGGCACGAGGCAAAAUAGCUCCCUCCACAGUCCGAAAUGGGCUUCAACACCCAAGAACAGCUCGCAGAGAGCUACAAAGCCCGCGAUAUGCAAUAUUGAGGCAGGCGUGAGAUGAUGUAGCUGGAGGCCGUAGAACUCCAGCAGCCCCCUUAUUAAAUAAGGGAUGAGGCACACCCGCUCUCCUUUGGAUGGAUUAGGGGCGCUCUCCGCUUGCCCUCCGCCGUUAUAGACGGCAAGACCAGCUCGAACCGGGAUCAUAUAGGCCGGGGGAGAAAUCCCUUGGUCUAGAGCGUCACUAACUCGCUAUGCGGGACGGAGCAUCUUUCCCAAUGUCCAGGCUUAGGGCUGGAAGGGCGGGAGGAGGAGUCGCGACGGCUGGCCAUGGUGGAAUGGAUCUUUGUCGAAUGCGCUCUGAUGAACACUCGCGAAAGGGGGAAGGUGUGGUUUGGAUCUAAAUCCUCGUCUCUUCAAAUAGGUCAACUUGUUUACGCGGCUAGGGGUGUGAAUGUAAAAACACUCAAACCUUUCAUAUUCGUUUGACACGUGGGGAGCGGCCAUUAUUGGGCGCAGAAGCCCAGGAGCGCAACAUCUACAAGAAACUGGACUUUAUUCAACAGGUGCAUGGAAUUUGGAGGAGAACCCGCCUUGCAAUGCCGAAGACAAUCUGCGCGCCGGACUCAUCGUCAUUGAAGCCUGGUUCGGGGGCUACUGAGGGAGUCCUGGAUUAGGGGGUGUUCGGAUAGCCGAACUAUACCUUCAGCCGGACUCCUGGACUAUGAAGAUACAAGAUUGAAGACUUCGUCCUGUGUCCGGAAGGGACUUUCCUUGGCGUGGAAGGCAAGCUUGGCGAUACGGAUAUUCAGAUCUCCUACCAUUGUAACCGACUCUAUGUAACCCUAACCCUAUCCGAUGUCUAUAUAAACCGGUGGGUUUUAGUCCAUAGGACAACAUACACAUAAACAAUCAUUCCAUAGGCUAGCUUCUAGGGUUUAGCCUCUCUGAUCUCGUGGUAGAUCUACUCUUGUACUACCCAUAUCAUCCAUAUUAAUCAAGCAGGACGUAGGGUUUUACCUCCAUCGAGAGGGCCCGAACCUGGGUAAAACUUUGUGUCCCUUACCUCAUGUUACCAUCCGGCCUAGACGCACAGUUCGGGACCCCCUACCCGAGAUCCGCCGGUUUUGACACCGACAAUGACCUUAUGAUUGCUUGCUAAAUUCUCGCCUUUGAAAUUUUUUUGCCCUGAAAAUGGUUCAGGACAGCUAUUUCCUGCUGUAGGUUCCUACAUCAAAAACAUUGUCCUAAAAAGAACUGUUCUCAUUUCCUUUGCGCUACCAUGUCCUUCCCGUGACAAGAUAUGCACCAAUUUUACCAUUUGUCUGCAUAAGUUCAAUCUUCUCCCCUUGAUCACUCCGCUCCUGAUUUCUUACCAUUGGGCAAUGGACCGUAGGCGUUUUGAUGAAUUGUUAUCUUGCCAGGGCUUCAAUAAAAGCAGAAGGGGUUUUCCUAGGAAUAUAUAGAAAAAUUUUGGUCAAUCAGCUGCUAAUACUGUAAAACUAGAAAUAGUUCAAGUUCCUUUUAAUUGUGAAACCAUAUCUUCUUAUUGGUUGUAGCCAUAAAUGAAAUCUGAUAUCAAUUUGGUGAACUGCGUAGGAGGAAGUAUUUGCUACUCACAUGUUGGGAGUAUUUUUCACAGCAGGCCAGUACAUGCUUUCUCAAGGAAAAAGAUCACAUCAUACAGUUAUGUUUGGGCUGAAUACCAUUCUGCACUAUCACCAACUCUGCACUACAUUUCAGAAAUUGUAUUGAUUUCCUUUUGAGUUUAAGAUUUGGCUUAACCUGACCAACUAGAUGAACACGUUCUUUUUAAUUGCUAUUAGAAUUGAGAGAUCCAGCAAAAAAAAUAUGUCAAAUUGUUUAUUGUCUAGCUAUUGAUUUCUAUUGACAUUCAUGUCAAAUCUCUAUUGAUGUUCAUAUCAAACCUUGACAGAAUAUUCCUUGCUGUGAUUUGAGCAUAAUAGUGAAGGCCAAGUCAAAUGUCGAGCUAGUGGAACACCAACCGCUGUUUACGGUUUGUGUGUAUGGGUUUGGAGCAGCCGGGCCCAACCAUGGAUAUUUUUAUCCAACAUGGGUGGCGACAUAGUCUACGGAAAGGCCCCCAUCUUUUCACCCUAGCCUAGCUAAAUAAUCGAAUCAAAUAAGCUAUAAUCAUGGUGCUUGUUCUGUACUGGUUUUUUCUUUUUUCUUUUUUAGAAAAGGAGCUUGAGACCCCCGGCCUCUGCAUCAAUCGAUGCAUACGGUCAUCUUUAUUACUUAUUCAGCAAAGGACUGACAAGAGCAUACAUCAGGCCACCCGAAGCCACCACUCACACCUACAAACGCGAUAAUGUGGAGUGCUCUAACUCCCCAUAUCUAAAACCGGUCUUGUCGUGGAAUUGUCACGGCAGAUGUCCUCAUGGAAGGACUUAGUCAUGGAGCCAUCACUACGGAUUAGCUUGAAGGGGUUAAACCGGGCAAGGGGACACGAGAGUUUUAUACUAGUUCGGCCCCUUCGACGAAGGUAAAAGCCUACGUCUAGUUGUGAUCGGUAUUGCUGGGGUUUCGAAGACCAGGGAGCGAAUCCGCUUUGUCUGGCUUCGAUUUGUUGUUUUCUGUCCCUGAACCGCCGCCGGGUCACCCCUUUAUAUAUUCAGGAGGAUCCUGGCCGGUCUAAAGAGUCCCGAGGCUGGCUCAUACAAGUGUCCGCCUCGGUCUCUUCUUUCUUAUCUUACAAUGCAAGUUUAUACAAUCAUGGCGGUUUACUAUCAUGGGCCCUAAACCGCCUGCAGGCUCUGGGCCUCUAAGCUUCAUACAUAAAGCGCCAUCUUCUGGGUUUCCUUGGGCUUCAGUAUGACUGAAGGUGAACCGGCCCCUCCUGGGCGGUUUACCCUCAGUGGUUAUAUCCUCAACAUUAGGCCCCAGAUUGAUUUGAACCUGUUCAUGUCAGUCUUCAAUCCUUGAACUUUUGGCAAUUCUCGUAAACCGCCAUAUUGUCUUCUCCCUAUGAGCUUUGAUGAAUCGCCAUGACGUCAUCUUCUAUUACUGUAGUAAAUCAUUGUGAUGUCAUUCCUGUAUAAAAAGUUUUAUAAAGAUUCCCUUCUCUUUAAUUAAUUCCCGAAGAUCGAGGCGACAGCUGCAUCCUCUUUUGCCGCUUUCGAUUCCUUGAUUUUUGCGCCUGCCGUUUUAUCUCACUUCCUUAUAAAUAAGACCGAGGUGCCUUCCAUUUUCCUCCUUUCCAAACCACAUCGUCUUCCUCCUCGCGACCUGAAGACCUCAAGUAUCGCCGCCGCCGCCGUUGUUGAUCUUCCAGUCCGCACCGACUCAGGCCGCUACAUCGACCUGUUUCUGACUAGAAAACAACAGCGAACCUCCGCAGCUCAUCCACAUCCGUGAGUUCUUCUCCUUCCCCUUCUCAGAUCUGCAUUGGAACUUUGUUUGAGUUCGUCGGCGGUCAUCACCGCCCGAUGCAAAACCCUUGUUAGUUUUCACCUCCAAUGCCCUGUUUAGAUUGUAAAAACAACGCAGAACUGCUGCGGCAACUGUUUGUGCUUAUCUUGCAUAAAAAUAGAUCUUAUUUCCAUUGUUUGGAAGCCCUCUUCGAAUGUAUGAACUUCUCUGCACUGUUUUAGGUCUAGAAAUUUUUCCUUCCAGAGCGAUCGUUUGAUCCAAAAUAAUAAUUGCAACUUGUGAAACCUGUUUGUUCCACACUUAACAAAUUUCCAGCUUGGGGUUCUGCCUCAAAAAGGCGGUUUAUCCUUUAGUGUUGAUAAUCCGUUGUAUGUCAUUAGCCCUCUCUUAAACCGCCAUCUAGACUUUGAACAGCCAUGCCCGGUUCACUUCAUACGUAUAUCUUGAAUUGCCGGUUUAACAUUUGACAAACACAUACGAACCGCCAAUCAUAAACCGUCCAUUUUCCUUUUACAGACUUUGUAAGAUGAGAAGCAAUUUGCUGCUUGCAACUGGGUUCCGUCUCGGAUCACAGAAACGCAAAUCAAUGAAUAUAUCACCACUAGCACUUUGGCUUCAAAAAAUGUCCUCCGUUGGCGAGUUCCUGGACCUGAGUGCCCCCCUGAACCUCAAGAUGGAGAAGUGAUUGUAUUCUUGCAACAUUUAGCUCGAGGUUUCAGUCCUCCCGGAUCAAAAAAUUUCCGGGAUGUUCUUGCCAGGCUUCAAUUUCAUCCUCAAGAUAUUGGACCAAAUUCUGUGUCCAACAUAUGCAAUUUCCAAGUAUUCUGCGAGGUUUAUCUGCAAGAAGAACCAACUGUCGAUCUCUUUCUAGAUCUCUUUCACUUAAACCGCCGGACGGAAUUUUCUGAUGGACCUAAUACUGAACUUGGCGGUGUGUCAAUCCAAAAAAGGAAAGAGGUUGAUUUUCCUCACGCCAAACUUCACAGCCAUCCAAAAGACUGGAACCAAACCUGGUUCUAUUGUCAGAAUACCGCCCCUACUGAAGAGAAUCCCUUGCUGGGCUACCGUCCGCACCGGCUCAGUAAUAAUCACCCUUUACCUUAGAGAUUGCCUGCCAAAGAUCAACAAGCCUAUGCACCUCAACUUGCCAAACUUCGGGCUCUUCUUGCCAACGGUUUAACUGGUGUUGAUCUCGUCUGUUGCUGGAUUUCAUGGUGCAUUCUUCCUUUAAGCCGCCGGCCCGGAUUGAUGUUCGAAUACACCGGCAAAACCAAUGAUCCUCAACGGUUUAAUUCAAUAGCACUGACGGACGAUGAAGUCAGUGAAAGUGUAAAGAAAAUACUCGACGAACCGCUCGCCGUAUGUACUCAAAUUGGUCUGCGUCCUUUUUACGCCUCCAACAAACCGCCUGGGGUAAAUAUUUUAACCUUGUACUUUUCCUUAUCCUUCUCCGCUUUGACACUGCUAUAAUAAUACCUUUGUGCAAUCCCAUAGGCCAGUAGCUCUUUUUGGAAAAAGAAAACUCAAGACAAAGUAGCUAAGGCUCCUCGUAGUAAGACCAAGGUCAUCAAGAAAGCUGCCAAAAAGAAAACUGCUGAGUCUUCAGAACCACCAGAAGAUGUUGAUGACUCGGCUGAAGAGGUAAAGUUUGAUCUCCCUUGACUUCUAUCCAUAUAUUUUACUGACAAUGAUUAUUCCCAGGAUGAUGCGGAGGCCAGCCAUGCAGAUCAUGAUGAGGUAAUUUGUCUUUCUUCUGACUCGGAACUUGUGCCGGUUCAACGAUUUCGCCGUGCAGUUCGAAAAGUGAAAUGCUCUCACCCUGUUGCUCAUUUGGAUCAAAAACUUUCUUUGAAGACACAGCAAACCGAAGGGCGUCGCACAACCCGGCACAGUGGUCAACAGGUCACUUCUUCCGGUUUACCUCAUACCCCAAACCGGAAACGUCGUCCAGAGGUUGAUUGUUCUUCUAAAAACGUUAUCUUUUGAAAGGUUUCUUCUGAUGCCCUCUAAAUUCAUCCGAUUCAAAUUAUCAGGCAUCUUCUAAUUCGUCUGGCGGUUCAUCGACCACUCAGCUGCCUCCCCUGAAAACCGUCCCUGGGUAAAUGUGUAGUCUUCCCUUCUCUUUCAUAACUCAGUUGACCAUGCUAAUCUUUGUUUUAAUAUUAGUGCCCAAGCUCGUUUGAGUAAGAAGGCCAAGACCAGCGCCCCUACCGGUGAAGUUGAGCCGGAGAAAACUCCUGAGGAUGUUGAUAAAAAUCUCGAUAAUCUCAUGGAUGAUUUUACUUUGCCAGAGCCAACUAUCAAUGUUAAUCCGUCGGAAGCUGAUCCGGCCAUGCAUGAGGAUACCUUAAGUCCACAUGCUAUGCCUGCAAGUACGGCUGCUGAUCCACUGAAGUCAAGUGCUAAUCCGCCGAUCCAUUCACAUAAGGUAUUGAAACCAACAGCUGGUGCAGCAGACCUAAAGUGUACACUACACACACACGUUUUAGAAGCCGCCAUCGUCAUCGAACCACUGACCCAUCUUUAGGACAGAGAUGCGCAUCAUCCUUGCCAGUCCGGCCAUCCGUCGAUGCCACUGCGGCGCCCAACAGCGCCACCUCCCUGCGCUCGUCCAUCUAGACGUGAAGACUCUUGGAAGAUCUGUCGUGCGUAGCACCUGCCGAACAGGCAUGACAAAGCGUAGCACCUGUCGGCCAGGCAUGACUUGACAUCACCAUCGAAGCUCCGUGCAAGACGAAGACGCUCCACCUCCUGCCUCUGUCUUCCAGCGCUGCUCCACAAACGAUGCUCCCAAGAGAGAAAUGACACCGUAGUGUCACCAUCGUCCGAUCUGGAAAACCAGAUCCUAGGGUUUCCCCCGGAGCAGCACGAGUGGGUCGACAAUAGUUACAGGACGAUGCUUUCAUCAAGGUAAUGAUGCAUAACGCCGCCAUCGUCCGCCGUUGGCUCGAUUUUCACGGCAACUAUGUCUCCCCAACUCGCAGUCGGGACUAGAUUACAGAUCUCGAGAUCCGAUCACCCAACCUCAGGCCGACCACCUCUGAGGUAGGAGAUGACCACCACCGCCAUAAUCCUCGUGAUGCGAUGCAGACCCGGGGUGCUUCAGCGAGCCGUCGCCGAAUCCAAUGAGAUGCAUCAAUUUGAGGACGUGACGGCAACCGCCUGCCUAGACCCGAAGGUCCUAGAUUGAGCCCGGGACGCGCCACGGCCGCCGCUGCCGUCAUCUCCUACCAAUCCCGCCGGCUGCAGCAGAGCCCCCCAUCGUGCCCUGGCCUCCGCUGCGCGCCAUCCUCGUCGCAAGGAGAUCCAGGUCAGGCCGCCGCCGCCUUAGAUCCCGGGAUGCCAGAGGAGGUCUGCCGCCGUCACGCCAUAGGGCCUUCGCCCAGCGAUGUUGCCGGCGGCGGCAGAGGGAGGAAGGUGCGCGGGGGGUCGAGGAGAGGUUGGGUGGUGGCCGCCCGGUGCGGCCCGGCGGCGGCCGCAUGGGGUCGGGGGGGGGGGUGAACUUUUAGUAUCUUGUUCUGUACUGGUAUAUAUGGUUGAUUGCAUGGCUUGUUCUACUACCUUGCUGCCAUAUACUUGAAUCUUCCAGGUCUUGUACAAAGAGUUCCUCCUCUCCUCUGUUUAUCUUCCAGAUCGAGUCGAAUCAGUCCAGAACUAUUUCAAUGUGUUUAUGCCAAGUGAUGGGCUCUGUUCUUGUAGGACAGUGACCAAAAUCCAUUCCCAACCAAUCAGGUAGAAACAGAAUCUGGUAUUUCAGCGCACCGUGAAUAUGUUUCUGAAUUGAAAGGGGAUUUCGUGCUGCUCAUGUAUUGAUCCAUUGCAUAAUAAGGAAGUACCAGCAGCAAGAGUUGACAGGACAGAGAAGGAACAUGACAGGGAAGUAAUAGACGUAGGAACAUGACAGAGAGGAAAUCAAGGAUAGAAGGUCAGGAUCAAGAGGAAUAAGGGGAAUAUAAGUAACUGCAGAUUUCAUGAUGAUGUGCAUGUAUAUCGUUACGGGGAGAGGGAUAACAUGCAAAAUUCAGAGAAGUCACGGUGAGAAUUAGUAAGAGGAAUAUUAAUCAAGCUUAGCUAAAUAAUCAAAUCAAAUAAGCUAUAAUCAUGUUGCUUCUUCUGUACUGGCAUGUAUGGUUGAUUGCAUGGCUCGUGAUUAAAUUAAAUUUAAAUGAAGGUUUGAUAUAAGUAUAGGGACCUUCAGAGUAAGAUCUCUCUUCACCGGAUUUUAGGUAACAACUUAGGCCAACUCUAGCCGAUCCCUAAAAGUUUAUAAGGGAGUAUAAUUUCUAAAAUCUAUAAGGGAGUAUAAUUUUUACUAUUCCACCGAAAUCCCCCCCCCCCCAAGCUGCCUAAAUAUAUUCGGCGCUUGCACGGUCGAGUAAAAGUUGCGCGCCUCUUUCUUCCGCCCUCACAACAGCGUCCUUCCCGUCGUUGCCGCCCCCACGCGUCGACGUCGCCACUGUUGACCGGUCCCAUCACUGGAAUGGAUAGCCAAGAGCCUUCCGCCACCCUGCCAGUCAGCACCACUGGCUUGUCGCUGCCGGAAAACACCCCCGCACCGCCGCUCGCGCCGAAAAAGAGGUUGGGGAUGAAAAAGCUCCACCGGCCACAAGCACGGGCUCCAACGCGACAAAGGCCGCCGAGGUGGCGUCUGCCUCUCCGACGACGACCGUCCGCCCUCCCACUGAUCCCGGCGGCGACAAGAGAGAAAGAAAACUGACGGUCGCGGCAUCGGCCCACGCCGAAGAGACCGCGAAGAAGAAGAAGGCCACUCCGGCGCCCCAUCCAUGUCCAGUGCCUCGUGUAGUGUCUCCGGCCACCUCUAUGGCCACUACUCUGGCGCGUCCGGGCGCUGCAGCCGGCAAGAAGGGUCGCGGUUGCCAAGUGCUCGAGGAAAUGCCAACAAGGUAAAAAAAAACAUAUUUUGCAUUUCGGCCAAUGAAUUUGACAGUGAUUGUUGGUGGCCGGUGACGAUGGAUUUUGUUGGUUUUGUUGUUAUAGUGUGGAGAUGAGCAUGACCGAAUUCUUGGUGUCUUUGGAGUCCUCGGCCAGAAUGGGGCUAGAUGAUCUCAAUUAUGAUUCAAUUUGGGAUCAUUCGGAGGUGUCCGAAGAGGAGAUGGAAGAAGAAGCAGAGGUGGCCGAUGGCGACGAACUUGAGGAGGUGACCGAAGCACACACAAGGUCGUCAAGGUCACAAACUCACAACUACAAUCAAGUUGAAGAUGAUUUUUUGCGGGAAGUUGAAGAUGCCGCUCUAUGUUAUGCUUGGAUGAACAUCUCCAUGGAUUGGAGAGAAUUGCGGAGUACUACAAAAACUCCGUGGAGGUGCAAUCAAGCCAUACGCAAGGGUCUCUUGGGCAUCGUUGGGGCACCAUUCACAACCAAUGCAACCGAUGGUCCGGUUGCAUCAAUAAAGUGAAUCACGCACCAACAAGCGGUGUGCAAGUCACGGAGUAUGGCUCAUGCAUCCAAAACUUUUCAAGCAUAGGAACAAGAAGUUCGGCCACAAGCCCUUCGCGUUGCAACAUUGCUACAAAGAGCUUUGCAAAAACAAGAAGUGGAUCAAGAGAGUUGCAGAGACCACUCCAAAGAGAUCAAGGUUGAGCAUAUCCGUUGAGGAGGACGACAAGGUGGAUGAAGAUGCCAACAAUAGACCGGAAGGAAACAAAAUUGCAAAAGAGAGAAAGAAGAGAAAUGCAUACGGUGGCACAUACAAACAAGAACCGGCGAUGAUUGUUUUAUGAUAUAUAUUGUGAAGUGUUUGACCUAUGCAUUCUUUUUACUUCACUAAAUUUAGGAAAUCAGCUAGGUGCGGCCAUCUAUGGCGGAGUAAACGUUUACUCCACUAAUAACUUUACUCGAUCGGAUCCUCCUCUAGUAACAUAUGUUCUUAUCAUAUCCUUUUAUCUCCUCUUCACAAGCUUUAUCUUAGAAUAAAACCCCUAUAGAAUGUCACAACAGUAGGCUAAAAUCAAGAUUAGCCUCGUGUGGUAUCUCUUGUACUCCAGGAUCAUGUAGUAUCAUGUUCUAUUCAACUUAUGAACCUCAUAACAGAAAGGCAUUACUCCUAUAGAGGACGGUGGAGUACCCACCUCCAUUGGCUCUCCACGUGCGAGCAGAGCCUCCUUGUUGUCCGUUGCUAGAUGGCUAGCCACGGGAGCCUCGGGGCGGUUUCGGGCCGUCUGACCUACCCGGACGACUCGACUUGGGCGAUCCGGAUGAAAAGUCCAUGACGGGUGGAUGCCCGAUUUGUUUUCCUACCUUUUUUGGUCGUGUUGCAUCUUGGCCCAGUCGCGGCCCAUCUUGCCAGCCUGUCUCUCUUGGUUGCGGAAUCGUAGAGCAGCAUAGGUAUGCGCAUGCCUAUAUAUCGCUUCAGCGAGUUGGAAGAGGCACUCGCCUAAACCGUACAACACAUAGCCCGGGUCCAAAAACGCCGGCAGCUCCCUCACUCAUGGCUCGCCCUCCUCCAAUGCAUAGCUAAAUCCAAGUCAACACAUGUAUACAUCAGGUGUGCAACUACAGGAUUUUUUUUUCUUUUGUUAAUAUUUUUUAAAACAUAAAAUUACUUAAAAUAAAUAAAACCCUGAAUUUGAAGAAAAAAUAACCCAUAUUCAAAAAUAUAUAGUUUGCAAAAAAUGUUAAUCAUGCAUUUAAAAAAUGUUAAACAUGUAUAUAAAACUGUUUUUGAUGUAUGAAAACCAAAGAAACCCAAUAAAGAAACACCUAAAAAUGAAGAAAACAAAAGGACAGAGAAAACUGUUAAAAUCCAUUAGUAAACAAAAAAACCAGAGAAAUUGGUGAAGAAAUGAAGGAAAAAAAGCACAAAAUCCGAUGAAGAAUAGAGAAAAAACAAGAAAACCAAAGAACACGAGGGGAAACCCAAGGAAAACCGGAAUAGUCCACGUACAGCCACCAUACAGUGACCGAACCAGCGAGCGCAUGUUUAAAUAUAUGGUGAACGGUUUUCAAUACAUAAUGUACGCUGAACAUUUUGAAAAUAUGCUUUGGUUAAAAAUAUGCUUAACAAUUUUUUGUGUACACUGAGCAUUUUCGAAAUACAUAUUGAACUUUUUUGUAGAAUAUGCUGAAGAAUUUUUUAGCAUACGAUGAAUAUUUUUAUGAUGCACAUGAACUUUUUUUAAUAUACAGUGAACAUUUUCUUAAUAUACGAUAAACAUUUUCGCAACACAUGGUGAACUUUUAGUACUCUAGUACAACAAUCCAACCAUCCAAAAUCGCCAGGCCUGCUUGUGCAAAUGUCUGAAAAAGGUUCGAUGUUUCUGCUCCCGUUGUGUCCAUCUAUUGUAGAGUCCUUUCUUUCUAGACCAUAUGAAUAACCUCUUUUCUCUUCUUUUUUAUGUCAAUGUCAGAGCACCUUGGGGUUUCGAGGAGGCGACGCUACAAGAAGUUGUGGAGGCGUCAUAUGAAGUAAUCAAAUUACAAGUCAAGAGGCCUGAUGUGCUGGAAUGUCAGUUUAGCUAGCAUGGUCAUGUCAGUUAGUACUCCCUUUGAUAGUUAAUGAUCUAAACUAUCUUAUACUUCCUCCGUUCCAAAAUAGAUGACUCAACCUUGUACUAACUUUAGUACAAGGUUGAGUCAUCUAUUUUGAAACGGAGGGAGUAGAAGUUAGUUAAUGAUCUAAACUAUCUUAUAGAAGUUUACAAAGGGAGUACUUAGUACUAGCUGUUUCCUGUAAUAUCGUGGCUCACGGCAGUAUGUACGCCGGAGAGUGGGUGGAGGGCGGCACGAUAUGAAUAAAAC
rnacentral:lncRNA from 1 species